AGACAGAAAGAACCUACACAUCAGCCAACUCCAGCUACGCGCUACAGAGGAGAAGCUGUCUCAAGUUUAGAAAUACAGGAAAGCUGACUGACUAGGAAGAGAUUAAAAACUCGCAUCUUCAAACACAGCCUUACAGAAAUUGACCUUUAUUUGUUGUACUAAAGCCUGUUUAACUUUUGAUACAAAGUAACAUUUUAGUACAGAAAAUCCCAGUCUGUCAGCUCAGUACCUGUCUGUGCACACUGUACCAUCUCAGUCCCACUCUGCCUGUAACUUAGAAAACAGCCCCUACCCCCAGAGGGUCUGCGAGUUAAUACCUUGAGAAUAGUCUACAGUUUUUCAUAGUUUGUCUGAGCUAGAAAACUUGUACCUGUAAAACAAAGGACAGCAUUGAGGACUGAAACUUGUCUCUUUUUUGAACAACUGUGCAAGAAAAUAUAUCCCUUUUUAAAAAACAUCAGUUAUGGCUAAACUACAAUCUAGUGUCUAGAAUUACAAAGAAUAAAAUGAAAUCAAAGAUUUCUCACUAGUAAAAUGAAAUGUUAGGAACAGUAUUAAAAUAUAGGUCCUACCCCAACGACACUUACACAGAGCCCAGUACAGUACCUAUUAUUAACAGGACGCACAGCUUAAGGAGGAACCACAUCAAAUCUUCAGCCAGACAUAUCUAGCCUCAGAAGUGCAAAAAAAAAAAAAAAAAAAAAGCCCCCAAACGAAGACACCCACAUUGAGUAGGGUGCAUGCCGUGAGUGCUGUAAUCAAGAUUAAAAAGACCUCAGUUUUUCUUUUUAGACUGUUGAUAGUGACAAUAACCAUUAUGCUUCCCCUAAAAGCUCUCAAUUCAAUGUCUGAAACAUGAAUGUUUUCAUAUCAAAAAGAACUGAUGUACCUGCCACCCUCUAAAAAGUUUAAGAAUUACCCUGCAAACAUUGCACUGAUGAAGGCUGUCACGACUUACAGAGCCUAAGGAGGACCCAAUGGCAGGCAUCAGCACA
rnacentral:antisense_RNA from 1 species